rnacentral:rRNA from 1 species
GUAGGUGGCAAGCGUUGUCCGGAAUUAUUGGGCGUAAAGCGCGCGCAGGCGGUUCUUUAAGUCCGAUGUGAAAGCCCACGGCUCAACCGUGGAGGGUCAUUGGAAACUGGAGAACUUGAGUACAGAAGAGGAAAGCGGAAUUCCACGUGUAGCGGUGAAAUGCGUAGAGAUGUGGAGGAACACCAGUGGCGAAGGCGGCUUUUCUGGUCUGUAACUGACGCUGAGGCGCGAAAGCGUGGGGAGCAAACAGGGAUUAGAUACCCUGGUAGUCCACGCCGUAAACGAUGAGUGCUAAGUGUUAGGGGGGUUUCCGCCCCCCUUAGUGCUGCAGCUAACGCAUUAAGCACUCCGCCUGGGGAGUACGGCCGCAAGGCUG